UGCGAGUCAUUGUAGCAAUACAAGGCAGACGGCUCAGUAACGCGUAGUCAAUCUACCCUAUGGACGGGAAUAACCUCGGGAAACUGAGAAUAAUGCCCGACAGAACAUUAUACCUGGAACGGUUUAUGUUUCAAAUGAUUUAUCGCCGUAGGAUGGGACUGCGGCCUAUCAGUUUGUUGGUGAGGUAAUGGCCCACCAAGACUAUUACAGGUACGGGCUCUGAGAGGAGUAGCCCGGAGAUGGGUACUGAGACACGGACCCAGGCCCUAUGGGGCGCAGCAGGCGAGAAAACUUUGCAAUGUGCGAAAGCACGACAAGGUUAAUCCGAGUGGUUUCUGCUAAAGAAACCUUUUGCUAGUCCUAGAAACACUAGUGAAUAAGGGGUGGGCAAGUUCUGGUGUCAGCCGCCGCGGUAAAACUAGCACCUCAAGUGGUCAGGAUGAUUAUUGGGCCUAAAGCAUCCGUAGCUCGUUUUGUAAGUUUUCGGUUAAAUCCAUACGCUUAACGUAUGGGCUGCCGGGAAUACUGCAUAACUAGGAAGUGGGAGAGGUAGACGGUACUCGGUAGGAAGGGGUAAAAUCCUUUGAUCUAUUGAUGACCACCCGUGGCGAAGGCGGUCUACCAGAACACGUUCGACGGUGAGGGAUGAAAGCUGGGGGAGCAAACCGGAUUAGAUACCCGGGUAGUCCCAGCUGUAAACUAUGCAAACUCAGUGAUGCAUUGGCUUGUGGCCAAUGCAGUGCUGCAGGGAAGCCGUUAAGUUUGCCGCCUGGGAAGUACGUACGCAAGUAUGAAACUUAAAGGAAUUGGCGGGGGAGCACCACAAGGGGUGAAGCCUGCGGU
rnacentral:rRNA from 1 species